GAGCGCGCCGGAAGUGCCCGGAGUGGAGCUGGGAACGUGCUGUGGCGGGGAGACGGAGGGGAAUGAGCCGGGACCAUGGCGGCCCCCUCUGUACGCUUCAAAACAAACUAUGCUGUUUCAAGCAAGAUUGAACCAUUUUACAAAGGAGGAAAAGUACAGAUCAAUAACGAUGGAACAUAUAUGUUCUGUACUUGUGGAACGAAGGUCAAUAUCAUUGAUAUCACAACAGGAAAGGUCAUAAAGAGUAUUGGACAGGAGGAUCAAGAAGAUAUUACCUGCUUCAGUAUCAGCCCGGAUGAUGAGAUAUUGGUGACAAGUAGCCGUGCCUUACUUCUAAAGCAGUGGGACUGGAAGGAGAGCACAUGCACGCGUACGUGGAAAGCUAUUCACACUAGUCCAGUGGCAAGCAUGGCUUUUGAUUCUACCUCAACAUUAUUGGCCACAGGAGGAUGUGACAGUACAAUCAAGAUUUGGGAUGUCAUCAAGCAAUACUGCACACAUAAUCUGAAGGGUUCCUCUGGAGUUGUUCACUUGGUUGAAUUUCAUCCCGACAUUUCACGCCUUCAGCUAUUUUCCUCUUCGAUGGACUAUAAGAUACGGCUCUGGAACCUGAACACCAGUAACUGUAUGAUGGUGCUGGACGCUCACUACAGCGCAGUGACUUCACUGGCAUUUACUUCAGACGGACAUACACUUGUCAGCUCCGGUCGUGAUAAAAUCUGUAUUGUAUGGGAUUUGAAGACAUACAGAUCAGAGAGAACAGUUCCUGUGUAUGAGACUGUGGAAGCUGUGGUGUUACUGCCAGAGAACGAGGAUUUCACUGCCUUGGGAGUGACAAGCAAAGAACCUCAUUUUAUCACAGCAGGCAGUAAAGGGAUCCUUCGAAUUUGGGAAGCUUACUCCGGAAGAUGUGUGUACUCACAGUGUGUGCCUGGAAAACCUAAGAAAGAUACUGAAGAUGACGCAGAUGAGCAAUCUCUGACCCAUUGCGCCAUUGUUCCAGCAACACACAAACUAACCACUGUAACUGCUGAACAUAACAUUCUCUCCUAUGACCUAUUCACUUUGAAACUUAUAUGCCAGUUUGUAGGUUAUAAUGAUGAAGUGCUGGAUGUGAAGUUUUUGGGUCCAUCUGACACACACAUUGUGGUGGCCACCAACAGCCCACAGCUGAAAGUAUUUGAGCUUGCAACGUUAAACUGUCAAAUCCUCAGUGGACACACAGAUACCAUAUUAGCCCUGGACGUGUUUAAGAAAGGCACCAAAUUUGCUAGUUGUUCAAAGGACAAAACCAUACGAAUCUGGAAAAUGAGUAAGAUAACUGGGGAAGUGAAUUGUGUGGCACAAGGUCUAGGACAUGCGCACAGCAUUGGUAUUAUUUCUUGUUCACGAUUGAAAGAAGGCUUCAUAAUUAGUGGGAGCCAGGACUGCACCCUUAAGCUGUGGAAUCUUAAAAAGUCGCUUGAAAUUAACAGUGAGAAAGCUGCAGAACCUGAAAUCUUACAUGCUGAUUUGACUGAAAAAGUUCACGACAAGGAUAUAAACAGUGUGGUAGUCUCUCCAAACGACAAGCUAGUGGCUACCGGCUCACAGGACAGAACUGCAAAACUUUGGUCCGCAUCUGAUUUCUCACUCAUCGGAGUGUUUCGAGGCCACAAGCGUGGAAUUUGGUCAGUCCAGUUUUCGCCGAUGGACCAGAUCCUAGCCACCUCUUCUGCAGAUGGCACUGUCAAACUCUGGGGACUUCAGGACUUCAACUGCUUAAAGACAUUUGAAGGCCAUGAUGCUUCUGUACUGAAAACCAUUUUUGUGAGUCGUGGAACUCAGCUGUUGACAAGUGGGUCUGAUGGGUUACUGAAACUAUGGACCAUCAAAACUAAUGAAUGUGUUAAAACAUUGGAUGCCCAUGAGGACAAGGUGUGGGGUCUCCACUGUAAUAAGAAAGAUGAUAUGGUUGUCACAGGAGCCACAGACUCUUGCAUAAUUAUCUGGAAGGAUGUGACAGAGAUAGAACUUGCUGAAGAGCAGGCCAAACAGGAGGACCAAAUUUUGAAGCAACAAGAAUUGUCUAAUUUAUUGCAUGAGAAGAAAUAUCUGAAGGCUUUGGGAUUGGCUGUUUCUUUGGACCAACCUCAGACGGUGCUUACGGUCAUUAAAGCGAUACUUGGUGAAUCUAAUGGACAUGAAAGGCUGGAAUCAACAAUACUUAAGUUGCGACAAGAUCAAAAAGAGUCUGUGUUAAAGUUCUGCAUCGUAUGGAACACCAAUUCUAAAAACUGUCACGAAGCUCAGUCUGUUGUCCAGAUUCUCCUACGAAAUGAAACUCCUGAACAACUUCUUCAAUUCAAUGGGAUUAAAGCUGCGUUAGAGGGAUUGAUCCCCUACACUGAGCGACAUUUCCAGAGGGUCAACAGACUGUUGCAGGCCUCAAUGUUUUUGGACUAUAUGUGGCAAAGUAUGAGGCUGACUGGAAAAUCCUGUGAGUCUGACAUACAAGUUGAAGACAUGGAGAUGGAGUCAAUUUUUUCAAUGGACAAAGCAGCGGUUGGGGCUGGGAAAGUGGAAAUUACUCCAGCAUCUGAUUGGCCCCAGGGGAACAAAAAGCAGGACGAUGCGAAAAGUAUGGAUACUGACAGUGAAAACAACGGAAAUUUCCACCAGCAAAAGCACUUGCUGCCACCUUGUGAGUACCUCAAAGAGAACUUGGAGCCCCCCUCAGAAAGUGGCAGUGAUUCAGAGGAUGACAGAAAAUCAGACAAUCAACCGGCAAAGACAUCUGUAAGAAAAAUAAAACAAAAGGCACCCAUUGUGAAAAAGAAGACAGAAUGUCUCAAAAGGAGCUGAUGCGGUCAGUGUGCCUGACAGGCUGUCAUCUUCAGGAUGUUCUGUGAAAUCCCUUUGUUACUAAUAUUUGUGAUCCCAGCCCAGUCAACCUUCCAUCCAUUGACUCCAUGUUGACUUCUCGCUGCCUUGGAAAGACAGAGAACAUCAUCAAAGAGAUAGCAAGAACUGCUGAUGCUGGAGUCACAGAUAACACAGUGUGGAGCUGGAGGAACACAGCAUGUCAGGCAGCAUCAGAGGAGCAGGAAAGUUGACGUUUUGGGUCGGGAAACAUCAUCAAAGACUCCUCUUGCCCUGGUUAUACGGUCUUCCAACCUCUUCUGUCGAGCGAAAGAUACAAAAGCUUAAACAUGCGUCCCGAUGGGUUUCAGAACAGCUUUUUCUCUCCUGUUGUUAGACGGCCGCAUGCACCCCUCAAAUUUCAAAUCUAACGUCGACCUAGCUUUCUGUGCACCUUCGCUGCCGCCAUGACUUUGUAUUUCUCACUCUGUUCAAAAACUCUUGUGAACUUGUAGUUGGCGCUCUGGAGAAAUUUCGCCUGCGCGGUUGCCAGGUACAGCUUUGAAUACCUCCAAGAGAUGCAAAAGAGCUGAGGUUUUGUGUACCUGUAGGGUGUUAGGCCCUUCAGCUGUAUGCUUAGACAACAGAAAAAGGAAAUUUGUGGAGCACAAUGCCAUGAGCUGAGCCUCAAGGACCUGAAUAAAUAUCAUUGUUUAAUAAUCACUCACAAGUGCACCAUCAGCUUCUAGUUUUCACACCCAUAAACACCAUGACAUUCUGUACUACUGAGACAUUUGGCAUUGCUGCAAGCCUCACACCCAUAUAUUUCUUAGCCAACACCCUGUACCUCAUGGUACAUUAGGCAAAUAUAUUGUACAACAGUGACACUUUGCAGAGCAGGUUUCUGCAUUGUGCAGGGUGUCGGUUAGCUCAGUUGGCUGGAUGGCUGCUUUGGUGAAGGACCUGCCCCCUUCAAUAUCUCCCCGUGCCUGAGACAUGGUGACAAUCAGGCUAAACAAACAACCUUUCUUAAAAAAAAUACUAAAAGAUCUGCAGAUGCUGGCAAUCAGGAACAAAAACAGAAGUUACUGGAAAAGCUCAGCAGGUCUGGCAGCAUCUGUGAAGAAAAAAAGUCAGAGUUAAUGUUUUAGGUCCAGUGACCCUACCUCGCCUGACCGGAAAUGUCAACUCUUAUUUUUUCCUUCACAGAUGCUGCCAGACCUGCUGAGCUUUUUCCAGUUGUGUUUCUUUCUGGUUCUGAGACUGGCUCUAAUGAAAUGAGGGGUGCGUAAGGUUCCAAUUGAUCGAUUGUGAUGGGGGCACUUUCGUCAGAGGCACAGAUAGAUGUUUCUGCAGCUGACAGAGAGAGAUCAGAAUAGUGUGUUGUCUCUCUGGUGACAGGAUCAAGAGUAUUUCAGAGAGGGUGCAGAAUAUUCUCAAAAGGGAGAGAAACCAGCAGAAGGCCAUUGUAUACACUGUAACUAACAACGCAGGAAGAGAAAAGGAUGAGAUUAGAUUAGAUUCCCUACAGUGUGGAAACAGGCCCUUCAGCCCAAUGAGUCCACACCGCCCCUUGAAGCAUCCCACCCAGACCCAUCCCCCCUAUAAGCCACACACCCCUGAACACUACGGGCAAUUUAGCACGGCCAGUCCGUCUAGCCUGCACACCUUUGGGCUGUGGGAGGAAACCAAAGCACCCGGAAGAAACCCACGCAGACACAGGGAGAAUGUAUAAUCUCCACACGGACAGUUACCCGAGGCUGGAAUCAAACCCUGGUCCCUGGCUCUGUGAGACUGCAGUGCUAACCACUGAACCACCGUGCUGCCCCUAAAAGGAUGAGAUUCGGAGGAGAGAAUAUAGGGAGUUAGGUAAGGAUUUAAAAAGGAGGCCACCAAGGUUAGUAGUAUUUGAAUUGCUCCUGGUGCCACACACUAGUGAGGAUAGGCUAGGGGGAUAGGGCAGAUGAAUGUGUGGCUGAGGAGCUGGUGCAGGGGAGAAGGAUUCACAUUUUUGGAUCAUUGGAAUCUCUUCUGGGGUGGAAGUGAUCUGUGUAAGAAGGAUGGAUUGCACCUGAGUUGGAAGUAUACUAAUAUGCUGGCAGGAAGAUUUGCUAGAGCUGCUUGUGAGCAUUUAAGCUAGUAAGAGGGGUGGAGGAGGUGAAGGUAGGACCCAACAAAAUAGUGAGGAAAGAGAGAUCAAUCUGAGACUGAUACAGUUGGGAAAAGGAGUAAGUCAAACAAUCAGGGCAAGCAGGAGCCUUGUCUAAAAUCUACUUGAUUGCUUCCUACCUCACACAAGUGCCACAGUUUUAAGUACAUUCUUAUACAUCAUAGGACAAGUGAAAGGGUAAAAAUAGACAGAGUAGAUUUCCUGGUAAUCAUGAGUACAUACCAACAUUUUGGUAAUAUAAUCUAAUGUACUGGCAUGAAUAUGGUUGGAUAAUAUAGCAAUGAGUAUGUAGAACAUGUGACACAGUUGGAUAGAUAUAUGGAUGAAUAAAUGUGUAACAUUUUGAUCAGAAAUUAUUAUCUAUUAAAAUAGUUGAAUGGAAAACUCAUAUCAAAAGAAAACCUUGUUUCUCAUCAUGAAGAUUUGAGCUGCACACCAUUUUUGAUUGCACCAUGUGUGUACAAUAAAUGCUUAAACAAAGAAGCUUGGAUUUUGUCCAACCUAAAGAGGGAGUAAAGGGUUAGACUCGUUCUUCCAGCUAACAUCCAAAUACAAUUAUUGCAAAUGAUUAAUGCUUGUAUCUAUUUUGACUCUGAUUCUAGUGGUUCCAGCUCUCUUGAAAAAUCUGAAUUUCUGUUGCAUUUAAGUGUUUCUGCAUUUUACUGUACAGCAUGUCAUCAUUGUGAAAUGUUAUUGAUUUCUGUGGAACUGUAUCUUAUUUACCUGAAUAUAAAGGACUUAUUAUAUUCCAAAAUUGACGCAGAUAAGUUUGGGAUAAUAAUUAACUGG